rnacentral:lncRNA from 1 species
CUUAUUUUCAUUUUUUUGGACCAAGGAACUUAAAUCCAAAGACCCUAGGCCUAUAUCACUGAUGGUUUACCAGUUAGAAACGCAUAUCACUUAUAUCAAAUGCAUAAGGGGAAAUAACUCUCAUAUGGAGUCUCCAGAUAACUUCAGUCCAAAUGAAUAUCCUAAUCCUGAAGAAGUAACGAGCAAUUUGGUGAAAUAAAUUUGUCGUAAUCUUUUACGGUUGCGAAGGAGUAGUGGCCACAAGAAAAACAGUGUUUGGGGAGAUAACUCUUACAACGUAAAGUAUUUUGUUACGCAGUUGUAAAUUUUAAAGCGUAUAAACUAUA